rnacentral:rRNA from 1 species
CCCAGGCCUUGUACACACCGCCCGUCACAUCAUGAAAGCCGCUUGUACCCGAAGUCGUCCCUGAAAGAUGCCGAAGGUAUGGGUGGUGAUUGGGAUG